rnacentral:rRNA from 1 species
AUGCAAGUAGAACGCUGAAGGAGGAGCUUGCUCUCUCUGGAUGAGUUGCGAACGGGUGAGUAACGCGUAGGUAACCUGCCUGGUAGCGGGGGAUAACUAUUGGAAACGAUAGCUAAUACCGCAUAACAGUAGAUGUUGCAUGACAUUUGCUUAAAAGGUGCAAUUGCAUCACUACCAGAUGGACCUGCGUUGUAUUAGCUAGUUGGUGGGGUAACGGCUCACCAAGGCGACGAUACAUAGCCGACCUGAGAGGGUGACCGGCCACACUGGGACUGAGACACGGCCCAAACUCCUACGGGAGGCAGCAGUAGGGAAUCUUCGGCAAUGGACGGAAGUCUGACCGAGCAACGCCGCGUGAGUGAAGAAGGUUUUCGGAUCGUAAAGCUCUGUUGUAAGAGAAGAACGAGUGUGAGAGUGGAAAGUUCACACUGUGACGGUAUCUUACCAGAAAGGGACGGCUAACUACGUGCCAGCAGCCGCGGUAAUACGUAGGUCCCGAGCGUUGUCCGGAUUUAUUGGGCGUAAAGCGAGCGCAGGCGGUUAGAUAAGUCUGAAGUUAAAGGCUGUGGCUUAACCAUAGUACGCUUUGGAAACUGUUUAACUUGAGUGCAAGAGGGGAGAGUGGAAUUCCAUGUGUAGCGGUGAAAUGCGUAGAUAUAUGGAGGAACACCGGUGGCGAAAGCGGCUCUCUGGCUUGUAACUGACGCUGAGGCUCGAAAGCGUGGGGAGCAAACAGGAUUAGAUACCCUGGUAGUCCACGCCGUAAACGAUGAGUGCUAGGUGUUAGACCCUUUCCGGGGUUUAGUGCCGUAGCUAACGCAUUAAGCACUCCGCCUGGGGAGUACGACCGCAAGGUUGAAACUCAAAGGAAUUGACGGGGGCCCGCACAAGCGG